rnacentral:rRNA from 1 species
AGCGAACGCUGGCGGCAGGCCUAACACAUGCAAGUCGAACGAACCUUUCGGGGUUAGUGGCGGCCGGGUGAGUAACACGUGGGAACGUGCCCUUAGGUUCGGAAUAACUCAGGGAAACUUGUGCUAAUACCGAAUGUGCCCUUCGGGGGAAAGAUUUAUCGCCUUUAGAGCGGCCCGCGUCUGAUUAGCUAGUUGGUUGAGGUAAUGGCUCACCAAGGCGACGAUCAGUAGCUGGUCUGAGAGGAUGAUCAGCCACAUUGGGACUGGGACACGGCCCAAACUCCUACGGGAGGCAGCAGUGGGUAAUCGUGCGAAAUGGGCGAAAGCCUGACGCAGCCAUGCCGCGUGAAUGAUGAAGGUCUUAGGAUUGUAAAAUUCUUUCACCGGGGACGAUAAUGACGGUACCCGGAGAAGAAGCCCCGGCUAACUUCGUG